rnacentral:rRNA from 1 species
CGAACGGGUGAGUAAUACGUGAGUGACCUACCUUUGACUCUGGGAUAAGCCUGGGAAACUGGGUCUAAUACCGGAUACGACCAAUCUCUGCAUGGGGUGUUGGUGGAAAGCGUUAUGGAGUGGUUUUAGAUGGGCUCACGGCCUAUCAGCUUGUUGGUGAGGUAAUGCUUACCAAGGCGACGACGGGUAGCCGGCCUGAGAGGGUGACCGGCCACACUGGGACUGAGACACGGCCCAG